rnacentral:rRNA from 1 species
AAUCAACGCUGGCGGCGUGCCUAACACAUGCAAGUCGAACGCGAAAGGGGCUUCGGCUCUGAGUAGAGUGGCAGACGGGUGAGUAACGCGUGGAUGACCUGCCCUUGAGCGGGGGAUAACGUCUCGAAAGGGACGCUAAUACCGCAUGAUGUCCUGCCUUUGAAAAGGUGGAGACCAAAGCCGGGGACCGCAAGGCCUGGCACUCGAGGAGGGGUCCGCGUCCGAUUAGCUAGUUGGUGAGGUAAUGGCUCACCAAGGCUCCGAUCGGUAGCCGGCCUGAGAGGGCGGACGGCCACACUGGGACUGAGACACGGCCCAGACUCCUACGGGAGGCAGCAGUGGGGAAUUGUUCGCAAUGGGCGCAAGCCUGACGACGCAACGCCGCGUGGAGGAUGAAGAUCUUCGGGUCGUAAACUCCUGUCGAAUGGGACGAAUGGCCCGGCCGUGAAUAUCGGCCGGGAAUGACGGUACCGUGAGAGGAAGCCCCGGCUAACUCCGUGCCAGCAGCCGCGGUAA